rnacentral:rRNA from 1 species
UAGCGUACGGCUCAGUAACACGUAGUCAACCUGCCCUGGAGACAUGGACAACCCCGGGAAACUGGGAUUAAUCCGUGAUAGGUCAUCUCAUCUGGAAAGAGAGAUGGCUUAAAGGGGUGUGCGAGCUUCUUUUGUGUACUCGCUCCAGGAUGGGACUGCGGCCGAUCAGGCUGUUGGCGGGGUAAUGGCCCACCAAACCUGUAACCGGUACGGGCCUUGAGAGAGGGGGCCCGGAGAUGGACACUGAGAGAAGGGUCCAGGUCCUACGGGGCGCAGCAGGCGCGAAACCUUCGCAAUGCGCGAAAGCGUGACGAGGUUAAUCCGAGUGGUCCCCGCUGAGGGGAUCUUUUGUCGGCUGUAAAAAGGCCGGUGAAUAAGGGGAGGGCAAGUCUGGUGUCAGCCGCCGCGGUAAUACCAGCUCCUCGAGUGGUCGGGGCGAUUAUUGGGCCUAAAGCAUCCGUAGCUUGUUCUGUAGGUCCCCUGUUAAAUCCAACGGCUUAACCGUUGGCGUGCAGGGGAUACCGCAGGACUAGGAGGCGGGAGAGGUGGGCGGUACUCAACGUGUAGGGGUAAAAUCCUUUGAUCCGUUGAAGA